rnacentral:sRNA from 1 species
UACAAUGAAUUCAACAGGUAUACACGUA